rnacentral:rRNA from 1 species
AUUGAACGCUGGCGGCAGGCCUAACACAUGCAAGUCGAGCGAGCGGCGGACGGGUGAGUAAUGUAUGGGGACUGCCCGAUAGAGGGGGAUAACUACUGGAAACGGUGGCUAAUACCGCAUACGGUCGGAUAACCCAUAUGGGAUUAGCUAGUAGGUAAGGUAAUGGCUUACCUAGGAUACGAUACCUAGCUGGUCUGAGAGGUUGAUAAGCCACACUGGGACUGAGACACGGCCCAGACUCCUACGGAGGCAGCAGUGGGGAAUAUUGCACAAUGGGCGCAAGCCUGAUGCAGCCAUGCCGCGUGUAUGAAGAAGGCCCUAGGGUUGUAAAGUACUUUCAGUCGGGAGGCGUUACCGACAGAAGAAGCACCGGCUAACUCCGUGCCAGCCGCCGCGGUAAUUC